AGGGUAAAGGAAGCAAAAAUUGACGAUCAUGUGGAAGAACAUUUGGGGUGUGACUUGAAUACCAUCAUCCAUAAUACAGCUUUGGAGAAGGUAUGCGAGAUUUCCUUCUUUUGAGAAGUUGCACAGAUACCAUCCUUGGCACAGAGACGCUAGCUAAUGAUAUUUCCUUCAUUUAAAUUAAAUAGAAGAAGGUUUUUCUCUCUAAGUGUCUUGAUUUUUUUUCAAUAAAUAAGCUAGAUCUUUUGUAUGCUUUGCUCUAAAGCUUGAUAUUUCUAGAUUGCUACAAUUCAACUCUCCAUGAUUUAAAUUGUUAGUGAAUUUAGGAAACUUUAUUAGUAUUAUUCUUGCCUAUAUGUAUUGAUAUUAAGCAAUGAAUGUGUUGUUGAGGAUAUUUUAUAUCCAUUAACUUCAUAAAUAUUUUGUAACCAAUUCCUAGUA